GAAGGGUUUGUCAGAGCUGCGAAUGAUGAGGCUUCUCAAGUUCCAGCUGGGGGUUUCGGUGAAGAGGAUGCUUGCCGUAGGCUGAAGCUUUGGUUGCGGUGGUGCUCUUUUGAAUUACUGCGCCUGGGGCAACCGCUUUGGUUCACUGAAGGAUGGCUUGCAUGUGCAGCGGUAACUUCUGGCUUGAAGGUUGGUGGCAUUUCUCUUUCCUGGAAGCAAGUGUUAAAUUCAGUUAAAUUUAGUUUCUAUCAUGUAUGUUGGCACUGAUACUUAGGGACUAACCAGUUUUAGGCAAUGCUUGUAAAUCACUCAGAACCAUAUUUGCACGGCCCAGCUCUAUCCUGGCAAUGUUAUUUUAGUUAAGGUGCUAAGCUUAAGCUUUUAUUGCUGAUUUACAAGCUGUACUUUGCAUUGUGUCCAUUUAGAGAAAUAAAACUGUGUGUCACAA